GUGUCAGCAGCCGCGGUAAUACGGAGGUUCCUAGCGUUGUUCGGAAUUACUGGGCGUAAAGGGGGCGCAGGCGGACAGGUCAGUGGAAAGUGGAAGCCCGGGGCUCAACCUCGGAAAGCCUUUCCAUACUGCCUGUCUUGAGUUCGUGAGAGGAAAGCGGAAUUCAGGGUGUAGCGGUGAAAUGCUUAGAUAUCCUGAGGAACACCAGUGGCGAAAGCGGCUUUCUGGCACGAAACUGACGCUGAGGCCCGAAAGCGUGGGUAGCGAACAGGAUUAGAUACCCUGGUAGUCCACGCCGUAAACGUUGUGCACUAGGUGCAGGAGGUAUCGACCCCUUCUGUGCCGGAGCUAACGCAUUAAGUGCACCGCCUGGGGAGUACGGUCGCAAGACUGAAACUUAAAUGAAUUGGCGGGG
rnacentral:rRNA from 1 species